rnacentral:rRNA from 1 species
UACGUAGGGGGCGAGCGUUGUCCGGAUCAUUGGGCGUAAAGCGCUUUAAGGCGGUUCGCUAAGUCGCGUGUGAAACCUCCAGGCUCAACCUGGAGACGCCACGCGAUACUGGCGUGACUAGAGUUCGGUUAGGGGAGUCACGGAAUUCCUGGUGUAGCGGUGAAAUGCGCAGAUAUCAGGAGGAACACCGGGUGGCGAAGGCGGGUCUCUGGCGGCUACUGACUACUGAGGAGCGAAAGCGUGGGAGCGAACAGG